rnacentral:rRNA from 1 species
GACGAACGCUGGCGGCGUGCUUAACACAUGCAAGUCGUACGGUAAGGCCCUUUCGGGGGUACACGAGUGGCGAACGGGUGCGUAACACGUGAGUAACCUGCCCACAACUUUGGGAUAACGCUAGGAAACUGGUGCUAAUACUGGAUAUGUGCUCCUGCUGCAUGGUGGGGGUUGGAAAGCUCCGGCGGUUGUGGAUGGACUCGCGGCCUAUCAGCUUGUUGGUGGGGUAGUGGCCUACCAAGGCGGCGACGGGUAGCCGGCCUGAGAGGGUGACCGGCCACAUUGGGACUGAGAUACGGCCCAGACUCCUACGGGGGGCAGCAGUGGGGAAUAUUGCACAAUGGGCGCAAGCCUGAUGCAGCAACGCCGCGUGCGGGAUGACGGCCUUCGGGUUGUAAACCGCUUUCAGCAGGGACGAAGCUUUUUGUGACGGUACCUGCAGAAGAAGCACCGGCUAACUACGUG